UUCAGUUCAAUUAUACAGUCCCGAAAAAUGAAAAAUAUGAAAAAUGUAAACCUACUCUAUUCUAAACUAAUCCUAAACUACUCUUUAGUUAAACUGCACCCGACGUUCUGGGCCUUGACCGUGUGCCGUCUUCAAGUACAUGAUAUUUCGGGGCAUUCUCCGGUGAAUAAAUACAAAUACCUCGGGGCAUUCCCCCGGCCAAAUGACUGCACUUUUUAAAUACGAUAAACAAAACAUUCAACAAAUAUUCCAAACAUUCCAACAAUACACCAAUUCUAAACUUGCCUACCCGAGCUUACUGUUUGCCUACCCGCUCGACGACAUAUCAUAUUCAACAUCAACAAUAUAUCAAAAAAAUCAUAAUAUUCACUUUUAUCAAUUUUCGAUUCCCGUCCCCAAAUUUGUUUCAACCAACAUGAUUAAAUAAGUCUCAAUUAAAUCAACCAAUAAAACUGUGAUAAUUAAAAAAACUCAAACACACAAUCACAAAUUAACCAUCAAACUCAAACAUGAAUUACACAAAUCAAUGACAUCACAGACAAAAUGAAAAGAGAUAUAGUUGAAGAAUUUGGACCUCAAUUUUAUUUCAAAUGGGAUCUUUCGAGGGAAGCUGCUUCACGGUCUCGAUGAACCUCAACAAUGAACCAAAUCAAACACAGGAAUCGCAGAAUAACAAGAACCUAUACCAAAUUUAGCGCACAACGUCAUGAUUUCAACCGCAGCGCCCUAAUACGACCCAAAAUAUCCAAUUUCGGCCAAGAACUCGCCGGAAUUAGCAACCACAGUGGCGGCAAAAGAAGUGGGUCACAUUUUUGGUGGAUUUUUGAGCGGUUUGAUGCAUUUCCGGUGAGGAGCAGGUGUUUCUUAUGGGUUUGAACGGAUUUAGAGAGGAGGUAGUCGGAUUACAAGAUGAGAUGAUGAUUCCGGCGAGAACUUCGCCACAAUAUUCAACCGGAGCUGCCUUUUAUCUUUUCUUCCCUCUCCGUUUCCUCACUGUCUCUCUUGUCUCUCUUAAUUCUUCACUAUCGUCUCGAUCUCUCCCACUCUCAAUGUUUUCUUCUCCAAUUCCGAUCAAUUUUAUCUCAAUCUCCCUUCACUCUCUUAAUCUCCGAUGGUGUGUGAGUGUGUAGUGAAAAUCGAACGCAGUGAAAAUCAAAACAAGGAAGUGUGUCUCCUUACCAAAGCUGCUUGAAUUACCAAAACAAGAAAGUGCCUCUUGCAUUUGUUGAGGUGAGAAAUUACGGCCUUUGAUGUUUAGGCUCUGAAAUCCUUGAUCUGAAUGCAACAUGUAUUCCUAUUACAUACAAAGAAAACUUGUGAGUUUAAAAACAUGGUGGCUAGUUUGUGGCUUUGGCUUUUGAGGCAAUUGCUCCUGCCCCAGUCACAUUUAGGUUUGCUUCCAACCAUUAGCAUAUGUCAUUGACUUGCUGUAUCAUUGACUCAAACUCAGCUUAUUAAGAGUGACUCUGAAACAAACACAGUAUUUCUGCUUUGUCGUGUUUCUCAAAUAAACCCUUUGAACCUUGGUAUUUCCAUGAGUUCCCUGACUUCUCUGUUGACAAAACUUCCUGCAUGCCUUUUUUUUGGGCUCACAAUCAUGUCUCUUUUAUGUGCUAGCUUUUGUCUUGUUUUGUGCAAUUAAAGAAGCUGGUAGCCAGUUUUGAAAAAAAUUUUCACUUGUUUUGACACGGACUUGACUCAAAGACAAGAAACAAAAAAAGAAUGACAAUUUUUGUUUUGAUAACUGACUUAAGAAAGAUAAAAAUUAAAAUAAAGAGAAGAAAGAAAAGACAAUGAAUGUCCUCUUUUAAAACAAAGAAACAAAAAAUUCAUCUAAAAAUGACAGUUAACAUUAAUGAUUGUGUCAUGCACUUUGGAUUAAGCAGCUUGAUCUUUUCAUCCAAACUUUUUACCCAUUGUUGUUGAGUUAAUGGCCUUGAAACUGAGUUGCUUUCUUAGGUCAAUUGCAUUUAAGACCCCAUUCGGCUAGUGGCGCCUUGAAGGGUUUUCGCCAACAAGUUUUUUUCAUUUUGUCUCGGCUCACUAUCGCCUUAUGGUGCCCGUGAGGGUUUUCACCAAUAAGACUCUCUCAUUUUUAUUUCUCUCAACUUGCCAUCACCUUAUGGUGCCCAUAAGGGUUUUCACCAAUAAGACUCUCAUUUUUAUUUCUCUCUUAAUUCCCUAUGCUGAGGAAGACAAAUAGUUCCCAAAUGCAUCAUCAUAUCCCUCGCAUGCUCAGCCUUAACAUCCUCAAAGAUUGAUCUGAAUGUCUUUCUUUGGUUGUAACUUGGUUUUUGGAUAAGGUUAGAAAUAAAGGAUGACAUGGGGCCCAAACGCACUUGAAGUGGAGUAAGACUUACAACUUUUGGAAUCGACUCAAACAAUGAGGAUUAACUCAUGUCCCAGUUUCUUUGGACUUAGUGACUCUAAAUUGUUUAUUUGGUUGGACCAAGCCCUGAGUAGGGUAGCCUACGUAUCUCACCCCCUCGAAAUAGGAGAAUCAGGUCAUGCGUAGUUCUGGCAACUUGUUCUUUCACUUGAUUCUAUUCUUUUUUUCUUUUUUUUUUCUUUUGGGGAUUUUUCGACUCUAUUUUUCUUCACACUUUUUUUUGACACAUUUUUUCUAUCUUUUCUUCUUUCUUUUUUUUUUUUGAACUUUUCUGACUAUUGUUUUGCUCGACAUUUUUCUUUCGAGCUUUGCUGACUAUAUUAAUUCCAAAAGAGGUGUAUGAAAAAAAAAUAAGACUAAAGCUCAAAUGGGGUAAACAAAGGAUGACACGAUGUUUGGAUGGCAGAAUGAAAUGCCUUCGUCAUAUCAAUCUUUGAAAAUGCAAGUACAUAUCAUGCAAUAUGAAAGUGAAAGAUGAAGAUCUUUGACAUCUUUUACAGCAUUAACUUUGACUGAGUCUGUGCAUCACUAUUUCUUCUGCGUUUAUAUGGCAUACAACUCCACUUUUGUUGCACAUUCCUCACAUUGAAUGACUCAUGAUUUUGUGAAGCUAAUUUUCUUUCUGUUCACGCGGCCACUAUUUGAUCUAAUUGAGACAUGUCUUUCAAUUGAUGACCAAGUUAUUCUUGUGAUUCUCAAAAUAAGUGUCUUAAUUUUUAGGAAAGGCUUCAACUUGUCACCAAAUUCCCCAGCACUCUAUCUAUUUUCUUAGAUAUUUUAUUUUCCUAAUUUUAACUCUCUAAUCCAAUGCUUCCUGAUCAAGUGAAUUUUAAGAUCUGGCUGAAAAUUUUGCUAGCAUGUCAUAUCACAAAGAAUCAACAUAAAAUGUACUAUGUAAAGAAAACAAGCAAACAACACAAAUUUAAAACAUAAAGGAAAAGGGGACACUCCAUUUAAUAAAAAUGAAAGAUAGAAGGGUUUGAACAUAAACGACAAAGGGACAAAAACAAGAUAGAUCUCGAACUACAAUCCUGAAAUAAUUCGAAAAACAGAAAAGAAGACAAAACAAACUACCAGACCUCUUCCUAGUAGGGAGAUGGGUGAAUUCUCAAUUGCUCAGCCUGACAACUUAGCCGCUGGUUUGCAUAUCAGCAUGACUAGAGCUUCCCUCACUAUCAAUGUUCUGCACCAUAAUUGAUCCAUCAUGAAUCAUCUUUUCAAUUUNNNNNNNNNNNNNNNNNNNNNNNNNNNNNNNNNNNNNNNNNNNNNNNNNNNNNNNNNNNNNNNNNNNNNNNNNNNNNNNNNNNNNNNNNNNNNNNNNNNNNNNNNNNNNNNNNNNNNNNNNNNNNNNNNNNNNNNNNNNNNNNNNNNNNNNNNNNNNNNNNNNNNNNNNNNNNNNNNNNNNNNNNNNNNNNNNNNNNNNNNNNNNNNNNNNNNNNNNNNNNNNNNNNNNNNNNNNNNNNNNNNNNNNNNNNNNNNNNNNNNNNNNNNNNNNNNNNNNNNNNNNNNNNNNNNNNNNNNNNNNNNNNNNNNNNNNNNNNNNNNNNNNNNNNNNNNNNNNNNNNNNNNUUGUGCAUUAUACACUGGAUAUGGAUGUGGAGGAACAGAGUGCAAUGGAUUUUGGGAGUGAUUAUGUGGAGCCUGGGCAUAAACUUGAGCUUGAGCCUGAGAUCGACGACGACGUGGUCUUCUUGACCUUUCUUGUUGUCCAACUAUAAUUGCAGAAGCAUCUUUCUUAUUCUUUUUCUCCCCAACACUUCCUGAACCAUUUUGAAUUACUUGAGUAGUCACUUUCAAUGUUGCAAAACUCACAAUGCGACUAGUCUUAAUUUCCUCUUCUACCAUCUCUCCCAUUUUAAGGACCUCAAUGAACGGCUUGCCUAAUGCAGGUAACAAGUGUUGAUAAUAUGUUUCGUCCUGCGCUUGAAUAAACACCUCCAUUAUUUUGCUUUCUUUCAUUGGGGGUUUUACUCUAGCAGCUUGUUCGCGCCAUCUGAUCGCAUACUCCCUGAAACUCUCAGUAUUUUUCUUUGCUAUACUAGUUAGGGAUUUUUCAUCAGGGAUCAACUCCACAUUGUAUUGAAAUUGUUGCACAAAUUCGUUAGCUAGGUCAUCCCAACUAAAUCAUUUGUCAGUAUCUUGGUCAACAAACCAUUCUAUAGCUAGACCUGAAAGACUCUCACCGAAAUAUGCCAUGAGUAAUUCUUCCUUCUUUCCAGCGCUCCUUAGCUGGUUGCAAUAGCGUCUCAAAUGUGCUACAGGAUUGCCAUGUCCAUCAUACUUCUCAAACUUCGGCAUUUAAAACCAAGAGGAAGAUGUACACCAGGAAAUAUGCACAGAUCUUUAUAUGGGACACUUUAGUACCCCUAAGUCCUUGCAAGUUUUUUAUAGUCAGUUCCAAACUUCUCAAUUUUCUAGCUAUUUCCUCUUGUUCUUCUGUCAUACCAGGCUUCUCAGUGUUAGGAGGAAAUUCAGGCGGUUGAGGGCAAUCGUAAGGACCAGUCGACUUAAAUGUAGGCUCGAGAGCAUAAUGCUGAUCACUAAAAAUAUUCAAUGCAGGCUCUCUUGUAGAGUAGGGAGGCACAACUUGUGGAUGAACAUCAAAAGUAGGAGCUUCAGGUGGGGGUGACGCCGCAAAAGCGUGAACAACAGCUAGAGCCGAGUAUGUGGUAGUCUUGGAUUGGGGAGUGAGGAAGUGAACAUUGAAAGUGGUUGGAUAUUGUUGCCCCGGAGUCGAUCCUGAUGUAUGUUGUGGCAUAUCAACAAAAAUGGGAAAUUGUGCAUGUGACACGGGAGGCAAGCUAGAAAGAUAUUUCGGAUUAUCAGUGGGAACUGGAGAAGGUGGCAAUCCAUUAGCCCAAGCUCGAUGCAUUUCUAUUAUUUGCCGCCUUAAUUUUCGAAUCUCUUCAUUAUCUCCUACAUUCUCAUUCCCCGAACUCCCUAUCUGAUUAGUAACCACUAAGUCGGUAUCCUUGUUAGCUAUAACUUCCUCUGUGACUUGGAGCAAUAUGGAGAACUAGCCAAAAUGCCAUAAACCAACCACCUUAAACUAACUGGACAAGAGAUGGCAAAUGCAUUAGAGUUUAACAAUUUUUCAAAACCUCUUUUUAUUUUUUUUUAUUUUUAUUUUUUGAAAAAAAAAAACCGAACCCUAGAAGGGCACCUACGUAUCUCACCCCCGAAAGGGGAGAAUCAGGUGUGCCUAGUUCGUGAAGUCAUGCCAAGAUGGCUAAUUGAACUCUUUUUCUUUUCCUCGAAACUUUAAAAAGAAAAGAAAAUAACAAUUUGUCAAAAGAAUUGACGAAAAUGUUUUUGAAUUUUUCAGCUUUAACAUCCCUAUACAAAGUGAAAUCUAUGAUUACCAAAGAGAAUUUUUUUGGUUUUUCAGUUUUAAAUUUCAUAUGAAAAUGGAACUUAAAACUAUUAAAGAAAAAUCUUUUUGUAGUUUUCUUUUAAAGACGUAUAUGAACCGCCUACUCUAAAUAAAGAGUGAAGAAAAUCUUUUUUUGAAUUUUUUUGAAUAAGAUCAACCAAAAAUAAAACCUAUGACUAUUAAGGAUUUUUUUUUUUGUAUUUUUAUUUUCAAGACAUGUAUGAAAUACCUACUCUAGAUGAAAAGUGAAGAAAUUAUUAUUUUUUUUUGGAUUUUUUAAAUAAGAUCCCCGAAUCAAUAAUAGGCUGCCUACGUAUCUCACUCCCGAGAGAGGAGAAUCAAGGGUGCAUAGUUCGUCCAGAUUGGACAAUUAACGAUUAACUAAUAAAUUGACGCUAACUUAAGAGACACAACAAAAAACAAACGAAUAAAAUAUUUUUGGAUUUUCAACUAGACACUUCAACUACGACACCCCUUUUGAUUCAUUCUUUUCGACUCACUUUUUUUCUAUUUUUUUCUUCUUUUUUUUUCUUUUUUGUUUUUGCCUACGCACCUUACUCCUAAAAUUUUUUUUUUUCAAAUCAGUCUGUCAAAUGACAACGUUACCCUUAAAGAUGCAACAGUUAGCACGUAGGGAUGCUUUAGAGGUGAGUGUCCUACAAAGGGCCAUGUGGGUCCCGCUAGGUCUCAGUAUGAUGCACAUAAGCAUGAUCUAAAGGCUGACCUACGUUGUGGUUCACUAACAAGGCUGUUCGGGGGAGCGCACGGUCGAUAGUGGCUGCUUUGCUUUCCACCUACUCCAUAACACCGAUGGCUCCCCCCCUAAAGUAAGGGUCAACUAGAGGUCGUGUACAACACAUGUACUACGGACUUGUUGCAGAAAGAAGGCCUGAGGGUAGACACAUGAUGCAAGAUAUGAAAGCGGUAACACAUAGGAUAAAUACUGUACACAAAGAGCACGAAAACGCACAACAGUGAUAACAAUAACGCAAACAAAUUACAAACAAUGUUUAUACACCCAUAAUGCCAAACAAAGCCGAUACGACUCCAAAAAUAAGCUCGAAUUCUGAAAUGCUCCCCAGCAGAGUCGCCAGAGCUGUCACACCCCCUUUUUCUACCGAAAAAGAUUCAUUUUUAAGUUUGAAAGGGUUUUUAUUAAAGUGACAAAAAAUGAAAAUUUAUUUCGAAAAGGAUUCAUUAUAUUUCAAAACUCAGAAUCGCCACUUGGCAUAAAUCGGGUGUGCCAAGUCACCUGUGGAUAUCCUUUUUCACAAUGGUUUUGACUCUGUAACACUGAUCCGCGAACAGAGAUUCCGGUUAAGAAAUUUUGUUGACCGAGGGAAAGGUGUUAGACACCCCUCAAUCCCUUGGUUCGACCACGGUCUCUUGAUGGAGCGUAUCGGCUAACUUUGACAUUAUAAGUGUAUAAACCACACAAAAACACAUAACAAUCAAUCAAACACACAAAAACCAAACAAAUCCAAAAUGCAGUGUUCAGUUCAAUUAUACAGUCCCGAAAAAUGAAAAAUGCGAAAAAUGUAAACUUACUCUAUUCUAAACUAAUCCUAAACUACUCCUUAGUGAAACUCCACCCGACGUUCUGGGCCUUGACCGUAUGCCGUCUUCAAGUACAUGAUACUUCGGGGCAUUCCCCGGUGAAUAAAUACAAUUACCUUGGGGUAUUCCCUUGGCCAAAUGACUACACUUUUUAAAUACGAUAAACAAAACAUUCAACAAAUAUUCCAAACAUUCCAACAAUACACUAAUUCUAAACUUGCCUACCCGAGCUUAUUGUUUGCCUACCCGCUCGAUGACAUAUCACAUUCAACAUCAACAAUAUAUCAAAAAUAUCAUAAUAUUCACUUUUAUCAAUUUUCGAUUCCUGUCCCCAAAUUUGUUUCAACCAACAUAAUUAAAUAAGUCUCAAUUAAAUCAACCAAUCAAACUGUGAUAAUUAAAAAAACUCAAACACACAAUCACAAAUUAACCAUCAAACUCAAACAUGAAUUACACAAAUCAAUGACAUCACAGAUAAAAUGAAAAGAGAUAUAAUUGAAGAAUUUGGACCUCAAUUUUAUUUCAAAUGGGCUGCUUCACGGUCUCGAUGAACCUCAAUAAUGAACCAAAUCCAACUUUGAUUUCUAUUUCCCCAAAUCGAACACAGGAAUCACAGAAUAACAAAAACCCGUACCAGAUUUAGCGCACAACGUCACGAUUUCAACUGCAGCGCCCUAAUACAACCCGAAAUAUCCAAUUCCGGCCAAGAACUCGCCGGAAUCAGCGACCACAGUGGCGGCAAAAUAAGUGGGUCACGUUUUUGGUGGAUUUUUGAG
rnacentral:lncRNA from 1 species